UACAUGGGGUGCAAACGUUGCUCGGAAUUAUUGGGCGUAAAGCGCACGUAGGCGGUUUGUUAAGUCGGAUGUGAAGUCCCUCGGCUCAACUGAGGAAGUGCAUCCGAAACUGGCAAGCUUGAGUACGAAAGAGGGUCGCGGAAUUCCCGGUGUAGAGGUGAAAUUCGUAGAUAUUGGGAGGAACACCGGUGGCGAAGGCGACCGCCUGGACGGAGACUGACGCUGAGGCGCGAGAGCGUGGGGAGCAAACAGG
rnacentral:rRNA from 1 species